AGCCGAAACAGCGGAUUCAUUCCGCUGUCCGUCAGGAUUGGUCACCUGACGCUGAUGAUGGCAGACCAGU
rnacentral:hammerhead_ribozyme from 1 species